rnacentral:lncRNA from 1 species
CAAAGUAGAAUAGAGUUUGUCAGGAGCUGGGGAGGUGGGAAAUUGGGAGUUACUGUUUAAUGGGUAUGGGGUGUCCCUUUGAGAUGAUGGAAAUAUUUUGACAAGAGGUGGUGGUGGCACAAUAUUGUGAAUGUACUAAAUGCCAUUGAAUUGCACUCUUUAAAAUGAUUAAUUCAUGUGAAUUUAUCUCAAUAAACACAACUCCACCCACCGCCCCCUACACACAGAUGAGCCUAGAACAUCUUGUUUGCCAGAAAGCAAGUCAGUGAUCAAAGAGUGAUGAGGACACUUCAAAAUGACCCAGAACCAGCUUGAAUUGGUCAAAUCAGGGACAAUCUGUAUUUUAUUAACUCAGCAACAAAAAGAAACAAACUACUGAUGUCCACAACAAUGUAGAUUGGUCUCAAAUGCAUUCUGCUAAAUGAACAAAAUGAGCCACUAUAGACUACAUACCAUGUGAUUCUACUUGCAAAACUAUAGUGACAGAAACAGACCAGUGGUUGGCAGGGGUCAGUACUGAAGGGGAGUGGACUGAUUUCAAAUAGGCACUAGGGAACAUUUUUGGGGUUAUAGAAUUAUUCUAUAUAACCAUCAUGGUGGCUACCUCAAUAAAGUGGAUAGGAAAUAGAACUAUCUGCCCAUGUUUGAAAGAGACUUCACAUUUCUCCACUAUUCAGGGAACCCAGCUGCCAUGGCCCGCAUGACCCAGGUGGUCACAGGGGGCCAGGUGAGUGGAGACUGCCCCUUGACAAGGCCCAUGUGCUCUUUGGACACCUGGGCUGCUUCACUCAUUUGUGUCAGCGCUGGACUCCAAGGGUGUAUGAGCAGAAAGAAAUUGUGCCUGACUCCUAAACGGCUUACAGGACAGAGAAGGGGGGGAAGUGAUACUGGGGUUAAGGGUUGUGUCCUGGGAGCCUGAUCUGGAGGCAGCCUGCAAGCAUCUGCAGGAAUAGCACCCUGUUCUCUCUCUGGAAGCCUCUGUGGCCAGUGCAGGAAUCCCAGCCCCUCCCAGCCACAGGAUGGGCUCUGCUUUCCCUGGUGCCAUCGUGUGCUGGCAAAAGGGAACAGCAGAGGUGGAUGCACGGGCUCCAGGCUUGGCAGGAAGACUGGCUGACCCCGCUCUGGGACUGCAGCCCUUGAGAUUUUGAAUAUCAGAGGGAGGGGGUGGCCCAGCAGGCCUGCGCUCUCUGAUGAGGCAUGCGUGUGGUGCAGUGAUGAAACGAGUGGGCAAGGGCUGAAACCACCUCUCCCCUCAGAUUUUCUGGAGCAUCAUUCCCGGCACAGGUGCAAAGAGGCUCAGGAUGCUUAUGACUCCAGUGUAGAUUGUGUCCUUCAUAAAACAGAACAAACCCUCUCCGUCCUGUUCAAUGUUUCUUAUUUUACAUUCUUUUUUUCACAUUACAACUGUGACCCAGGAUUUUGCCUGGGUAAUGGUGUUUGCUUUGGGGACAGCAAGAGGUCAUUCUUCCAUCCCCUCCUUUCACCACAUACAAGGCUGCUGGGGAGGAGGGGUCAGGGACAUCAGAUCAUGGGGCUUUGAAUUCUGCCCUAAGUCCAACCUGGGGCCUGUGAGUCCACUAAAGAGAAAACUCAAAUUGCAUAUUUUUAAAUACAGAGACCAGAUUCAAGUUUGAGAGUAGACAGCUGUGUGUGCAGUGGGGGACUUAGUGGGGACCACAGAGGCGGCAGGGGGGACCAAUGAGUGAGCCCCUCCCAGACUAGAGCGUGGCUCAUGGCUGUAGGAGCAGGGACAUUUGAUAUUGUUGACAGCUUUUGUGUGUGAAGUCCUUUUGUGACCUGAAAGGCACCAGCCCUGUGCCAGAGCCUGUGGUGGGAGCUGUGUCCCCUGGAGGCAGAGGGUGGUCCUGAGUCCUGGGCAGCAGCUCUCCAGUGCAGGCAGCCAGGCUGCCUU